GGGUGUGUGACUGGAAGUGGAAAUCAGGUCUGGCUCUUAACCAGAAACAUGUCGGUUCGAUCCCGACCACACCUACCA
rnacentral:tRNA from 1 species